GAUCUACCUCUACCUUCCUCCCUCUUUCAUAGCCUUCACCUCCCACCUCUCUCUCCAUCAUGUAGUGCCUUCACCUCUCACAUCUACCUCCCUGUCAACCCCCUCAAAGCCAAACACAGUUCUCAUGGCAAACUCAAAUACAAACCCAGUAGAUACACUCCAUUCACCAUCUGACAUCUUCUUACAAAAUCACCCAAUCUUUCAAUUUUGUGUCGGCAAGGUAAUUUUUUUAAAAAAAUUUGUGUUGCGCGUGAGAACCAAGGUUUGUUUGCUCUUUAGCUUUUCUAUUCUUGGUUCGAUAGUGAUAAUCCAGAACUCUUUUGAUAAAUAUAAAUUAUUACUAUUUAAAAUUUUUCAUCAAUUAUUAGUACACAAUGAAUCACUAAAUGCAGUAGAUUUGAUGUCGGUUUGGUGGCUAAUAUUUAUCUAAAAAAUUCCAUCAAUUAUAGAAUAUAUUUCAUGUAUAAGCUUAUGUGCUCUCUAAUUGUUCUUAUGCUGAUUUGGUGGCUAAUAUUUGUGAUUAUCAAGGAAAAGUGAUUAGGGCAUGUAGUUUGAAGAUGAUUGUUAUUAGGUACAUAUGCAUUCUGUUAAGUUUGCAUAGGAUGUUAGUGUUCAUACUUUGCUUUGGAGUAUCACAAGACUAAACUUAUGAAAAUCUUGCAAAUGGGUCAGGCACCUUUCAAAGGUACAAUUUAUUGGCAAUCUAUUGGUAGAGCUUAACUAUCUUAUGCAACAUAUGCAACUUAAUCACAGUUGUGUGUUUAUUGUGGUGUCUAAAUUUGGAAAUAGGGUGACUAUACAAUUAGUAAGUAAUGCAAAAAAUCUGAUCCAAAGAUUGAUGAAAAUUUUAAAAUUUUUGAUAAACACUUGAAAUGAAACUACAGAUCCAGUACGAAAUAGCCAUCAAUCGAGGCUACUACACAAGGUUUUUGUUUCUUAGGCGUUUUCAUUUGUUUUGACUUUGAUAUUGUGAAUUUUAUCUGGGUUCAUGUUGUUUAGGAGAUUGGAAUCCUAGAAAUUGAAAUUUAAUUCUUUAUUGAUUAUUUGAGGAUUGGAAUCUAAUUUUUAUUUAAAUUUUUGUUUAAAUGAUAUUUUUCAUUGAGUAAUUGAAUGUUUCGUAUAAAGGAUAGAGAUUUUUGAGAUUGGAAUCCUAAUGUGCAACAUUCAUUCUUUGUGAUGAGAGUUAGAUACUAAUGUGCAGUAUUCAUUCUUUGUGAUGGGAGUUAGAUAUCUAUUUGCUUUAUUUCUAAUUACUUUAGAUAUCUAUUUGCUACUAAAAGAUAUCAAAAUGACUCUCACUUUCACAAAACGUAAGGUAUUACAUUCACAAAACUUAACGUAAGGUAUCCUAUGCUUUCAAACUUUGUGAAAAAAUUCAAAUCCAUUCCAUCUGUUUGUCUCAUGUUUUUGUUUUGUGCAUGUUCAGGUUACUAAGGCAACAAAAUUAAAAUUUUAAGGUUGCUUGGCACUGUCAACAACAUUGCAUAAGUGAUUUGACUGGGGAGAAUGGCCAAAAUCAAGCGAAAGGAGCUUUUGUUUUGAGAAAAGUCUUCAAUUCAAGUAUAGCGUCGAUGUAGUCUUGACUCGAACACAAGAUGUCCUCCACUUGGAUUGGAAAGUGGAUUGAAAGAUCUUUGGAAUGAAAUUGCGAUGAAUCUCUGGCUGUGCAUUCGUUAGGGAUUUCUUGUUCUUUGCGUUCUUCAUGGGUUCUUCAAAUUUUAUUGAUCUUCGAAGAUUUAUGGUGGAAGUUCUUCGGGGCUUUAGAACUUGAAUCCGAUAAAAAUUUGAUGGAUCAAAGUCAUUGAAGUUUUUGGAGGCUUUGAUGUUUGAUUCCAGUAGAACUUUGAGACUUGGAAGAAUGAUUUGGAUGAAUGUUCUUCAUCUUCGAAGAUUUGUAGUGAAAGUUCUUUGGGGGUUUGGAGGCUUGGAUCCAUAGAGCUUUACUAAUUUGUAGUCUCUUAGUGUUUAUGGAGGCUUUUGAGCUUGAUUACAAUGAGCUUUGAGAUCUAGAAGGAUGACUUGAAUGUUUUUGCUUUGAAUGUUCUUCGUAUUCGAAGGUUGAAGUUCUUGAUUUUCUUAGAGGUUUUGGAGCUUGAUUCCGGUAGAGCUUCAAAACUUCUAAAUGUUUCUAUAUCCCCUGUAAGGCUAAGAAGGGUCUCUAUUUAUAGGAGUCCUAGAGAGGUGUGAUAACACAUGAUUGACUAUCAUUAAUGACAUGUGUCAUAAUUUACAUGGAGGGACUUUAUGCCUCGUUCUCCAAGGGACACAUGGCAUUAUUUGAUUAGCCAUAGUGCUUUAAUUUAAAAUAACACAUUUUAGCCUUUAAUUAGACUGCUUAUGUCAUUUAAAUUAACAUGAGCUAACAUUUGAUUGGCUCUCAAGUAUUCUUUGUAAUUUUUAUUCUUUGACACUUGGAAUAUUGUCAUUGGUCUUUGAAUAAUGAUAGUGACACCCAUUAAAUAAUACAUGACUUCUUGUAAUUAGCCGCUUUAAAUGUACUACAUGAAUUUUGUGGUCUGACGUGGCAAUUUGUGAUUGGUAGAAAAUUUCACUUUCUAUAGAUGUAUGCUACGGUUGGUU